GAUAAAGCUGCCUUAUUUAGAGAAAGGGGCCCAAACAGCGCGAGGCGGGGAGGAUGGAGCAGACAUGCGCGCGCGCGGAGAGGGGAUGCAGAGGCGGCGUCUGCUUUGAAGGACAGCAGGCUUCCUUAAAAAGGCAGAAAGAAGGACCGUUCAACAAAACCACCACAGCGACAUGAGCUCGACGAGGACCCACAUCACCUGGAUCAGCUGAGGCGGACGGUGGUGGACAUCUUUUAUUUUUAAUUCUACAAGGAAGAGCAGCUCCUGGUUCUCUCAUCACUGUGGAGGACGUGAACGGGCGACGUCUGGAGUCUUGAGCUGUCAUGGGGAUCGGAGAGAACGUCCAGCAGCUGCACACUCUUCAACCCAGCACUAAACUUUUUUUUCUUUCAUUUCUUACUGAAUUUUUUUUUUCCAGUGGAUAAAAAUGUACUCUUUAAGGUCAUCUAUUAGGUUCUUUAAAAGUAAAAAAACAGACAGUAUUAUUAUAGAUUAUGCUUUCUAACAAUGACAUGUGUAAAGAGGCCCCUACUGCAAAUAAAGGGAAACUAAUUCUGAAUUAUCAA